rnacentral:lncRNA from 13 species
UAUUUAGUACAGGCUGGCUAGGUAUUUAGUACAGGCUGUCUAGGUAUUUAGUACAGGCUGUCUAGCUAUUUAGUACAGGCUGGCUAGGUAUUUAGUACAGGCUGGCUAGGUAUUUAGUUUAGGCUGGAGUGGGAUGGUAGUAGGAGACUGGAUGUGCUCUAUUGCCACUCCAGGUUGUCUUCUGGUGGGGUCAAUCUUCCAUACAGAUAUAUUUAGGUAGGUGACUGUAUGGGUCCACUGUCUGCCACAAUGUAUGUGAUGUGCAGCCUCUCACCAUGUUCUCUGCUGUCUCUUCUCUGUCUGUCCCGGUGUCGCGCUUGCCCCGGCAGACGACAGAUGACAUAGUAUCGUCGGCGGAGUGUUCCAGCGACGACGAGGAUCUGGAGGAGUGUGAUUCCGGACACGCAGACAACAGAUAUCCUCCAACUUCUGUGUGCAUCGUUUCUCUCUCUCCUGCCUCACCACACAUAGUUGUCACCAGGUUGAAGUGAGUUAUAACUCUCAGUAGUGUGAAAUAAUAAUAAUAAUAAUAACAAUAAUAAUAAUAAUAAUGAUAACGCAUAAUGCCAGAGCUGAUCAGGAAGUAGAUUUGAAAUGGAAACAUAUCACUUGUUUUGAGACAACUUGGGUUUAGGAGCGGUUUGCUGCAUGCUAAUAUUAAUGAUAAGCUGUCUGUCAUGUCCCCAACAGAGCUCAGCUCAGCCCCAUCAGAGCACAGCCAAUCAUAUUGUCUGUCAUGAGGAUAAUUCAUCCAGAUACACCCCUAUUAGUCCUGAAAAUGAAUAACUACAAACAAAUACUGUCUGAUACACUCCUAUUAGUCCUGAAAAUUAAUAACUACAAACAAAUAUUAGCUGGUUCAAUGUGAACCAGCAUAGACAUAAACUACCCAGAACAGACAUCCCCAUUCANNNNNNNNNNUUGUUUUGAGACAACUUGGGUUUAGGAGCGGUUUGCUGCAUGCUAAUAUUAAUGAUAAGCUGUCUGUCAUGUCCCCAACAGAGCUCAGCUCAGCCCCAUCAGAGCACAGCCAAUCAUAUUGUCUGUCAUGAGGAUAAUUCAUCCAGAUACACCCCUAUUAGUCCUGAAAAUGAAUAACUACAAACAAAUACUGUCUGAUACACUCCUAUUAGUCCUGAAAAUUAAUAACUACAAACAAAUAUUAGCUGGUUCAAUGUGAACCAGCAUAGACAUAAACUACCCAGAACAG